CCAGCCCGCUCAGAAACUUAAAGGAAUUGACGGGGGCCCGCACAAGCGGAGGAACAUGUGGUUUAAUUCGAUGAUACGCGAGGAACCUUACCCGGGCUUGAAAUGCAUCUGACCGGCCUUGAAAGAGGUUUUCCCUUCGGGGCAGAUGUGUAGGUGCUGCAUGGUUGUCGUCAGCUCGUGCCGUGAGGUGUCGGCUUAAGUGCCAUAACGAGCGCAACCCUCAUCAUUAGUUACCAUCAGGUAAGGCUGGGGACUCUAAUGAGACUGCCAUCGUAAGAUGUGAGGAAGGUGGGGAUGACGUCAAAUCAGCACGGCCCUUACAUCCGGGGCGACACACGUGUUACAAUGGGUGGUACAAAGGGCAGCUACCUGGCGACAGGAUGCUAAUCUCCAAAACCACUCUCAGUUCGGAUCGGAGUCUGCAACUCGACUCCGUGAAGCUGGAUUCGCUAGUAAUCGCGCAUCAGCCACGGCGCGGUGAAUACGUUCCCGGGCCUU
rnacentral:rRNA from 1 species